CCUACUCUUGACAUCCAGAGAACUUGGCAGAGAUGCCUGGUGCCUUCGGGAACUCUGAGACAGGUGCUGCAUGGCGUCGUCGCUCGUGUUGUGAAAUGUUGGGUUAAGUCCCCAACGAGCGCAACCCUUAUCCUUUGUUGCAGUCCGGCCGGGAACUCAAAGGAGACUGCCAGUGAUAAACUGAGGAAGGUGGGGAUGACGUCAAGUCAUCAUGGCCUUACGAGUAGGGCUACACACGUGCUACAAUGGCGCAUACAAAGAGAAGCGACCUCGCGAGAGCAAGCGGACCUCAUAAAGUGCGUCGUAGUCCGGAUUGGAGUCUGCAACUCGACUCCAUGAAGUCGGAAUCGCUAGUAAUCGUGGAUCAGAAUGCCACGGUGAA
rnacentral:rRNA from 1 species